CCUCGGGAGGCAGCAGUGGGGAAUUUUGGACAAUGGGGGAAACCCUGAUCCAGCCAUCCCGCGUGAGUGAAGAAGGCCUUCGGGUUGUAAAGCUCUUUCGAAAGUGAAGAAAACUUAUUUCGUAAUAUGUUAUAAGUAUGACGGUAACUUUAGAAGAAGCACCGGCUAACUACGUGCCAGCAGCCGCGGUAAUACGUAGGGUGCGAGCGUUAAUCGGAAUUACUGGGCGUAAAGCGUGCGCAGGCGGUUUUGUAAGUCAGAUGUGAAAUCCCCGAGCUUAACUUGGGAACUGCGUUUGAAACUACAAGACUAGAGUGUGUCAGAGGGGGGUAGAAUUCCACGUGUAGCAGUGAAAUGCGUAGAGAUGUGGAGGAAUACCAAUGGCGAAGGCAGCCCCCUGGGAUAACACUGACGCUCAUGCACGAAAGCGUGGGGAGCGAACAGGAUUAGAUACCCUGGUAGUCCACGCCCUAAACGAUGUCAACUAGUUGUUGGUGGAGUAAGAUCCAUGAGUAACGUAGCUAACGCGUGAAGUUGACCGCCUGGGGAGUACGGUCGCAAGAUUAAAACUCAAAGGAAUUGACGG
rnacentral:rRNA from 1 species